UACUAUUCGUAAGUUUGGUAUUCUCAUUGU
rnacentral:piRNA from 1 species